rnacentral:tRNA from 1 species
GCAGGGAUAGCAAAACCCGGUUAUGCGUGCGCCUGCAGAGCGCAUGAUGGGGGUUCAAAUCCCCCUCCCUGCU